AACGAACGCUGGCGGCAUGCCUAACACAUGCAAGUCGAACGAGACCUUCGGGUCUAGUGGCGCACGGGUGCGUAACGCGUGGGAAUCUGCCUUUCGGUUCGGAAUAACUCAGGGAAACUUGAGCUAAUACCGGAUGAUGUCGCAAGACCAAAGAUUUAUCGCCGAAAGAUGAGCCCGCGUAGGAUUAGCUAGUUGGUGAGGUAAAGGCUCACCAAGGCGACGAUCCUUAGCUGGUCUGAGAGGAUGAUCAGCCACACUGGGACUGAGACACGGCCCAGACUCCUACGGGAGGCAGCAGUGGGGAAUAUUGGACAAUGGGCGAAAGCCUGAUCCAGCAAUGCCGCGUGAGUGAUGAAGGCCCUAGGGUUGUAAAGCUCUUUUACCCGGGACGAUAAUGACAGUACCGGGAGAAUAAGCCCCGGCUAACUCCGUGCCAGCCGCCGCGGUAACAC
rnacentral:rRNA from 1 species